rnacentral:rRNA from 1 species
GACGAACGCUGGCGGCGUGCUUAACACAUGCAAGUCGAACGGAAAGGCCCUGCUUUUGCGGGGUGCUCGAGUGGCGAACGGGUGAGUAACACGUGAGUAACCUGCCCCUGUCUUUGGGAUAACUUCAGGAAACUGGGGCUAAUACCGGAUAGGAGCUCCUGCUGCAUGGUGGGGGAUGGAAAGUUUCGGCGGUUGGGGAUGGACUCGCGGCUUAUCCGCUUGUUGGUGUGGUAGUGAAUUACAAGGGUUUUGACGGGUAGCCGGCCUGAGAGGUGUACCGGCGACAAUGGGACUGAGAUACGGCGCAGUAUGCUACGGGAGGCAGUGGUGGGGAAUAUGGCACAAUGGGCGGAAGCCUGAGGCAGCAGCGCCGCGUGCGGAAUGACGUCCUACGGGUGGUAAACCGCUUUCGCCGGUAACGAAGCGUGAGUGACGGUAAUUGGUAAAGAAGCACCGGCUAACUACGUG